UACAGAGGUCUCAAGCGUUGUUCGGAUUCAUUGGGCGUAAAGGGUGCGUAGGCGGCGCGGUAAGUCGGGUGUGAAAUCUUGGAGCUUAACUCCGAAACUGCAUUCGAUACUGCCGUGCUUGAGGACUGGAGAGGAGACUGGAAUUUACGGUGUAGCGGUGAAAUGCGUAGAUAUCGUAAGGAAGACCAGUGGCGAAGGCGGGUCUCUGGACAGUUCCUGACGCUGAGGCACGAAGGCCAGGGGAGCGAACCGG
rnacentral:rRNA from 1 species